rnacentral:rRNA from 1 species
AAAGCCCGGGGCUCAACCUCGGAACCGCAUUUGAAACUGGCAGGCUAGAGUCUUGUAGAGGGGGGUAGAAUUUCAGGUGUAGCGGUGAAAUGCGUAGAGAUCUGAAGGAAUACCAGUGGCGAAGGCGGCCCCCUGGACAAAGACUGACGCUCAGAUGCGAAAGCGUGGGUAGCAAACAGGAUUAGAUACCCUGGUAGUCCACGCCGUAAACGCUGUCUACUUGGAGGUUGAGGUUUAAGACUUUGGCUUUCGGCGCUAACGCAUUAAGUAGACCGCCUGGGGAGUACGGCCGCAAGGUUAAAACUCAAAUGAAUUGACGGGGGCCCGCACAAGCGGUGGAGCAUGUGGUUUAAUUCGAUGCAACGCGAAGAACCUUACCUACUCUUGACAUCCAGAGAACUUUCCAGAGAUGGAUUGGUGCCUUCGGGAACUCUGAGACAGGUGCUGCAUGGCUGUCGUCAGCUUGUGUUGUGAAAUGUUGGGUUAAGUCCCGCAACGAGCGCAACCCUUAUCCUUGUUUGCCAGCACGUAAUGGUGGGAACUCCAGGGAGACUGCCGGUGAUAAACCGGAGGAAGGUGGGGACGACGUCAAGUCAUCAUGGCCCUUACGAGUAGGGCUACACACGUGCUACAAUGGCAGAUACAGAGGGCAGCGAAGCUGCGAAGUGGAGCGAAUCCCUUAAAGUUUGUCGUAGUCCGGAUUGGAGUCUGCAACUC